UACGUAGGGUGCGAGCGUUGUCCGGAAUUACUGGGCGUAAAGAGCUUGUAGGUGGUUUGUCGCGUUGUUCGUGAAAACUCACAGCUUAACUGUGGGCGUGCGGGCGAUACGGGCAGACUGGAGUACUGCAGGGGAGACUGGAAUUCCUGGUGUAGCGGUGAAAUGCGUAGAUAUCGGGAGGAACACCAGUGGCGAAGGCGACUACCUGGCCUGUUUCUUGACGCUGAGGCGGCGAAAGCUAGGGGAGCAAACGGG
rnacentral:rRNA from 1 species